rnacentral:lncRNA from 1 species
CCCAUGCCAAUAUCCUUCCCCCAUAUACUUAGCCAUGGAUCUAGGUGAUCAAAAUUCAUCUUAGGUUCUAAAGAGAGCAUAAAAUUAACUAAAGCAUUAGUUAUAACAUGUUCAGCCUAAUUCAAAAGUUCCUUAUUCAUUGAUGAAACAUUAUUUUCAUCAUCUUGGUCUGGGACCUUGAGGGUUCUCUAGUGCAAAACUCAGGCUACCAUCAACCAUGUUCACCAUAGGGUUGACAAGUGGACAAAGUGGUACUUGGUAAUGAUUGGGUGGCA